UACAGAGGAUGCAAGCGUUAUCCGGAAUGAUUGGGCGUAAAGCGUCUGUAGGUGGCUUUUUUAAGUCCGCCGUCAAAUCCCCAGGGCUCAACUCUGGACAGGCGGUGGAAACUACCAAGCUGGAGUACGGUAGGGGGCAGAGGGAAUUUCCGGUGGAGCGGUGAAAUGCGUAGAUAUCGGGAGGAACACCUGUGGCGAAAGCGGCGCACUGGACCACAACUGACGCUGAUGCGCGAAAGCUAGGGAGCAAAACAGG
rnacentral:rRNA from 1 species